rnacentral:rRNA from 1 species
UACGUAGGGGGCAAGCGUUGGUCCGGAUUUAUUGGGCGUAAAGCGCUCGCAGGCGGUCGUGUGCGUCGUGCGUGAAAGACCCUGGCUCAACUGGGGGUGGCGUGGCGAUACGGCGCGACUGGAGGCCAGUAGGGGAUGGCGGAAUUCCGGGUGUAGUGGUGGAAUGCGUAGAGAUCCGGAGGAACACCAGCGGCGAAGGCGGCAUCCUGGACUGGUCCUGACGCUCAGGAGCGAAAGCGUGGGGAGCGAUCCGG